UACAGAGGGUGCAAGCGUUAAUCGGAAUUACUGGGCGUAAAGCGUGCGCAGACGGUUGCGUAAGUCAGAUGUGAAAGCCCCGGGCUUAACCUGGGAAUGGCAUUGGAAACUGGCUCGCUGGAGUGUGGCAGAGGGGGGUGGAAUUCCGCGUGUAGCAGUGAAAUGCGUAGAGAUGCGGAGGAACACCGAUGGCGAAGGCAGCCCCCUGGGCUAACACUGACGCUCAGGCACGAAAGCGUGGGGAGCAAACAGG
rnacentral:rRNA from 1 species